UACGUAGGGUGCAAGCGUUAAUCGGAAUUACUGGGCGUAAAGCGUGCGCAGGCGGUUUUGUAAGUCUGUCGUGAAAUCCCCGGGCUCAACCUGGGAAUUGCGAUGGAGACUGCAAGGCUAGAAUCUGGCAGAGGGGGGGUAGAAUUCCACGUGUAGCAGUGAAAUGCGUAGAGAUGUGGAGGAACACCGAUGGCGAAGGCAGCCCCCCUGGGUCAAGAUUGACGCUGAGACGCGAAAGCUAGGGGAGCAAACGGG
rnacentral:rRNA from 1 species